GACAGAGGUGCCAAGCGUUAGGCGGAAUCACUGGGCUUAAAGCGUGUGUAGGCGGAUGCCUAAGUACCUUGUGAAAUCCCACGGCUCAACCGUGGAACUGCUUGGUAUACUGGGUGUCUUGAGCCAUCUAGGGGCUACCGGAACAAUGGUGGAGCGGUGAAAUGCGUAGAUAUCAUUGGAACGCCAAUGGUGAAACAGGUAGCCUGGGGAUGAUGCUGACGCUGGAGACACGAAAGCCAGGGGAGCAAACGGG
rnacentral:rRNA from 1 species